UAGGGAAUCUUCCGCAAUGGACGUAAGUCUGACGGAGCAACGCCGCGUGAGUGAAGAAGGAUUUCGGUUCGUAAAACUCUGUUGUUAGGGAAGAAAAAAUGUAUAGUAACUAUAUACAAAAGAGACGGUACCUAACCAGAAAGCCACGGCUAACUACGUGCCAGCAGCCGCGGUAAUACGUAGGUGGCAAGCGUUGUCCGGAAUUAUUGGGCGUAAAGCGCGCGCAGGUGGUUUAGAAAGUCUGAUGUGAAAGCCCACGGCUCAACCGUGGAGGGUCAUUUGAAACUAAUAAACUUGAGUGCAGGAGAGAAAAGUGGAAUUCCUAGUGUAGCGGUGAAAUGCGUAGAGAUUAGGAGGAACACCGGUGGCGAAAGCGGCUUUUUGGCCUGCAACUGACACUGAGGCUCGAAAGCGUGGGGAGCAAACAGG
rnacentral:rRNA from 1 species